UGGGGGGAACCCUGAUCCAGCCAUGCCGCGUGUGUGAAGAAGGCCUUAUGGUUGUAAAGCACUUUAAGCGAGGAGGAGGCUACUUUAGUUAAUACCUAGAGAUAGUGGACGUUACUCGCAGAAUAAGCACCGGCUAACUCUGUGCCAGCAGCCGCGGUAAU
rnacentral:rRNA from 1 species